AGAGGGGGCUAGCGUUAUUCGGAAUUAUUGGGCGUAAAGGGCGCGUAGGCGGCCAUGCGUGUCUUCCGUGAAAUCCCUCGGCUUAACUGAGGACCUGCGGAAGAAACUGCAAGGCUCGAGUCCGGGAGAGGGGGGUGGAAUUCCCAGUGUAGCGGUGAAAUGCGUAGAUAUUGGGAGGAACACCGGUGGCGAAGGCGGCCCCCUGGACCGGUACUGACGCUGAGGCGCGAAAGCGUGGGUAGCAAACGGGAUUAGAUACCCCGGUAGUCCACGCCGUAAACGAUGGGCACUUGGUGUCGCGGGUAUCGACCCCUGCGGUGCCGAAGCUAACGCAUUAAGUGCCCCGCCUGGGGAGUACGGUCGCAAGGCUG
rnacentral:rRNA from 1 species